CUCUGGUAUUGAUUGGUGCUUGCAUCAUGAUUUACAUUUGAGUGAGUGGCGAACUGGUGAGUAACACGUGGGAAACCUGCCCAGAAGCGGGGGAUAACACCUGGAAACAGAUGCUAAUACCGCAUAACAACUUGGACCGCAUGGUCCGAGUUUGAAAGAUGGCUUCGGCUAUCACUUUUGGAUGGUCCCGCGGCGUAUUAGCUAGAUGGUGGGGUAACGGCUCACCAUGGCAAUGAUACGUAGCCGACCUGAGAGGGUAAUCGGCCACAUUGGGACUGAGACACGGCCCAAACUCCUACGGGAGGCAGCAGUAGGGAAUCUUCCACAAUGGACGAAAGUCUGAUGGAGCAACGCCGCGUGAGUGAAGAAGGGUUUCGGCUCGUAAAACUCUGUUGUUAAAGAAGAACAUAUCUGAGAGUAACUGUUCAGGUAUUGACGGUAUUUAACCAGAAAGCCACGGCUAACUACGUGCCAGCAGCCGCGGUAAUACGUAGGUGGCAAGCGUUGUCCGGAUUUAUUGGGCGUAAAGCGAGCGCAGGCGGUUUUUUAAGUCUGAUGUGAAAGCCUUCGGCUCAACCGAAGAAGUGCAUCGGAAACUGGGAAACUUGAGUGCAGAAGAGGACAGUGGAACUCCAUGUGUAGCGGUGAAAUGCGUAGAUAUAUGGAAGAACACCAGUGGCGAAGGCGGCUGUCUGGUCUGUAACUGACGCUGAGGCUCGAAAGUAUGGGUAGCAAACAGGAUUAGAUACCCUGGUAGUCCAUACCGUAAACGAUGAAUGCUAAGUGUUGGAGGGUUUCCGCCCUUCAGUGCUGCAGCUAACGCAUUAAGCAUUCCGCCUGGGGAGUACGGCCGCAAGGCUGAAACUCAAAGGAAUUGACGGGGGCCCGCACAAGCGGUGGAGCAUGUGGUUUAAUUCGAAGCUACGCGAAGAACCUUACCAGGUCUUGACAUACUAUGCAAAUCUAAGAGAUUAGACGUUCCCUUCGGGGACAUGGAUACAGGUGGUCCAUGGUUGUCGUCAGCUCGUGUCGUGAGAUGUUGGGUUAAGUCCCGCAACGAGCGCAACCCUUAUUAUCAGUUGCCAGCAUUAAGUUGGGCACUCUGGUGAGACUGCCGGUGACAAACCGGAGGAAGGUGGGGAUGACGUCAAAUCAUCAUGCCCCUUAUGACCUGGGCUACACACGUGCUACAAUGGAUGGUACAACGAGUUGCGAACUCGCGAGAGUAAGCUAAUCUCUUAAACCCAUUCUCAGUUCGGAUUGUAGGCUGCAACUCGCCUACAUGAAGUCGGAAUCGCUAGUAAUCGCGGAUCAGCAUGCCGCGGUGAAUACGUUCCCGGGCCUUGUACACACCGCCCGUCACACCAUGAGAGUUUGUAACACCCAAAGU
rnacentral:rRNA from 1 species